rnacentral:rRNA from 1 species
CCUACGGGAGGCAGCAGUGGGGAAUAUUGCUCAAUGGGGGAAACCCUGAAGCAGCGACGCCGCGUGGAGGAUGAAGGUUUUCGGAUUGUACACUCCUUUUGUUAGAGAAGAUUAUGCACUUUUCUAACCAAUAAGCACCCGCUAACUACGUGCCAGCAACCGCGGGAAUACGGAGGGUGCAAGCGUUACUCGGAAUCAAUGGGCGUAACGGGUGCGUAGGCGGGGUAACAAGUCAGAAGUGAAAUCCUGUAGAUUAACGAGGGAACUGCCUUUGAAACUGUGACACUUGAGUGUGGGAGAGGAAGGUGGAAUUCCUGGUGUAGGGGUGAAAUCCGUAGAGAUCAGGAGGAACA